rnacentral:rRNA from 1 species
AUGGGCGACAUCGGGAGCCGGCGGUCGGACUACUUUAUACUAGCGGCGCUCGCGCUCGUGCCGAUCGCCGCAAUGGCUCUGCUCGUGUGCCUCGCCCUACUAGGCGACAGAGGGCCGCUCUACUCCGCCGCCAUCGACGCCGCCACCGGCCUCGACGCCGCCGACCUCGGCCGCCACGAUCUGAGCCCGCUCUUCAACCUCACCCUCCGCGUCGCCUCGCGGAGCCUCUUCAGCGGCGACUGCACCGCGCCCGGCGCCGUCGUGGAGGUGAGCUACGCCGGCGUCCCGCUCGCCGCGGGGCCCGUCCCGCGGUUCUGCACCAAGCCAAGGGAGGCCAGGGAGCUGCGGGCCGUCGUGGCGUGGGGGGAGGCCGUGAAGGUCCCUGGGUUCGUGCUCGACGGCCUCGCGGCGGACGCGCGGCGAGGGACGCCGGUGUUCGACGUGGCGGUCACCAUGCCGGGGACCCACUGGAGCGGACACCAUGGAACGAUGGUGUCGUGCAGCGCCCUGCGCGUCGGGGACACGGCCUCGUUGGGAGCUACGUGCGCCGCUUCGGACGUCGACACCGUCGUGACGCUGCCCAGGCCCAGCGGCAAGCUCGACGGCGGCGCCACCUGA